rnacentral:tRNA from 1 species
GCUCAUAACCUGGGGAUGUAGGUUCGACUCCUGCCUCUACAAAGUAGGGUAGACUAACGGGAAGUCAUCAG